rnacentral:rRNA from 1 species
GGUUAAGCGACUAAGCGUACACGGUGGAUGCCCUGGCAGUCAGAGGCGAUGAAGGACGUGCUAAUCUGCGAAAAGCGCCGGCGAGGUGAUAUGAACCCUUGACCCGGCGAUGUCCGAAUGGGGAAACCCAGUGCAAUCCGUUGCACUAUCGUUAACUGAAUACAUAGGUUAACGAGGCGAACCGGGGGAACUGAAACAUCUAAGUACCCCGAGGAAAAGAAAUCAACCGAGAUUCCCCCAGUAGCGGCGAGCGAACGGGGAGCAGCCCGGAGUCUGAAUCAGCUUGUGUGUUAGUGGAACGGUCUGGAAAGUCCGACGGUACAGGGUGAUAGUCCCGUACACGAAAGCACACAUGCUGUGAACUCGAAGAGUAGGGCGGGACACGUGGUAUCCUGUCUGAAUAUGGGGGGACCAUCCUCCAAGGCUAAAUACUCCUGACUGACCGAUAGUGAACCAGUACCGUGAGGGAAAGGCGAAAAGAACCCCGGCGAGGGGAGUGAAAAAGAACCUGAAACCGUGUACGUACAAGCAGUGGGAGCCUCUUUAUGGGGUGACUGCGUACCUUUUGUAUAAUGGGUCAGCGACUUAUAUUCUGUAGCAAGGUUAACCGUAUAGGGGAGCCGAAGGGAAACCGAGUCUUAACUGGGCGUUAAGUUGCAGGGUAUAGACCCGAAACCCGGUGAUCUAGCCAUGGGCAGGUUGAAGGUUGGGUAACACUAACUGGAGGACCGAACCGACUAAUGUUGAAAAAUUAGCGGAUGACCUGUGGCUGGGGGUGAAAGGCCAAUCAAACCGGGAGAUAGCUGGUUCUCCCCGAAAGCUAUUUAGGUAGCGCCUCGUGAACUCAUCUUCGGGGGUAGAGCACUGUUUCGGCUAGGGGGCCAUCCCGGCUUACCAACCCGAUGCAAACUACGAAUACCGAAGAAUGUUAUCACGGGAGACACACGGCGGGUGCUAACGUCCGUCGUGAAGAGGGAAACAACCCAGACCGCCAGCUAAGGUCCCAAAGUCAUGGUUAAGUGGGAAACGAUGUGGGAAGGCACAGACAGCCAGGAUGUUGGCUUAGAAGCAGCCAUCAUUUAAAGAAAGCGUAAUAGCUCACUGGUCGAGUCGGCCUGCGCGGAAGAUGUAACGGGGCUAAACCAUGCACCGAAGCUGCGGCAGCGACGCUUAUGCGUUGUUGGGUAGGGGAGCGUUCUGUAAGCCGUUGAAGGUGUGCUGUGAGGCAUGCUGGAGGUAUCAGAAGUGCGAAUGCUGACAUAAGUAACGAUAAAGCGGGUGAAAAGCCCGCUCGCCGGAAGACCAAGGGUUCCUGUCCAACGUUAAUCGGGGCAGGGUGAGUCGACCCCUAAGGCGAGGCCGAAAGGCGUAGUCGAUGGGAAACAGGUUAAUAUUCCUGUACUUGGUGUUACUGCGAAGGGGGGACGGAGAAGGCUAUGUCAGCCGGGCGACGGUUGUCCCGGUUUAAGCAUGUAGGCGGAGGUUCCAGGUAAAUCCGGUACCUUAUUAACGCUGAGGUGUGAUGACGAGGCACUACGGUGCUGAAGUGAUAAAUGCCCUGCUUCCAGGAAAAGCCUCUAAGCAUCAGGUAACACGAAAUCGUACCCCAAACCGACACAGGUGGUCAGGUAGAGAAUACCAAGGCGCUUGAGAGAACUCGGGUGAAGGAACUAGGCAAAAUGGUGCCGUAACUUCGGGAGAAGGCACGCUGAUGUGUAGGUGAAGCCCCUGCGGGCGGAGCUGAAAUCAGUCGAAGAUACCAGCUGGCUGCAACUGUUUAUUAAAAACACAGCACUGUGCAAACACGAAAGUGGACGUAUACGGUGUGACGCCUGCCCGGUGCCGGAAGGUUAAUUGAUGGGGUUAGCGGCAACGCGAAGCUCUUGAUCGAAGCCCCGGUAAACGGCGGCCGUAACUAUAACGGUCCUAAGGUAGCGAAAUUCCUUGUCGGGUAAGUUCCGACCUGCACGAAUGGCGUAAUGAUGGCCAGGCUGUCUCCACCCGAGACUCAGUGAAAUUGAACUCGCUGUGAAGAUGCAGUGUACCCGCGGCAAGACGGAAAGACCCCGUGAACCUUUACUAUAGCUUGACACUGAACACUGGUCCUUGAUGUGUAGGAUAGGUGGGAGGCUUUGAAGCGUGGACGCCAGUCUGCGUGGAGCCAACCUUGAAAUACCACCCUUUAAUGGCUGGUGUUCUAACGUAGACCCGUAAUCCGGGUUGCGGACAGUGUCUGGUGGGUAGUUUGACUGGGGCGGUCUCCUCCCAAAGAGUAACGGAGGAGCACGAAGGUUGGCUAAUCCUGGUCGGACAUCAGGAGGUUAGUGCAAUGGCAUAAGCCAGCUUGACUGCGAGCGUGACGGCGCGAGCAGGUGCGAAAGCAGGUCAUAGUGAUCCGGUGGUUCUGAAUGGAAGGGCCAUCGCUCAACGGAUAAAAGGUACUCCGGGGAUAACAGGCUGAUACCGCCCAAGAGUUCAUAUCGACGGCGGUGUUUGGCACCUCGAUGUCGGCUCAUCACAUCCUGGGGCUGAAGUAGGUCCCAAGGGUAUGGCUGUUCGCCAUUUAAAGUGGUACGCGAGCUGGGUUUAGAACGUCGUGAGACAGUUCGGUCCCUAUCUGCCGUGGGCGCUGGAGAAUUGAGGGGGGCUGCUCCUAGUACGAGAGGACCGGAGUGGACGCAUCACUGGUGUUCGGGUUGUCAUGCCAAUGGCACUGCCCGGUAGCUAAAUGCGGAAGAGAUAAGUGCUGAAAGCAUCUAAGCACGAAACUUGCCCCGAGAUGAGUUCUCCCUGAGACUUUAAGUCUCCUGAAGGAACGUUGAAGACGACGACGUUGAUAGGUCGGGUGUGUAAGCGCAGCGAUGCGUUGAGCUAACCGAUACUAAUGAACCGUGAGGCUUAACCUU